GGCGGGCUGCUCUGAUGGAAUGAAUUGAGUUUGAUUCGUAUGUUUGUUCGAAAGUGUCCUUAUCUGCAGCGCUUUCAAAAGAAAAAGGGGUCCGUGGUGAAGACGUCGCAGUCUCUGCAUGGCAGCACCUCUUUGGAGGCGGAGAACACUUUCGUCGUUGUUUCUACUAGCCUUGAUGCGAAUGUGUGUGCGGAGUAACUAACUGUUGAGGACUUCUCGAAUGCUUUGGGUUGACACACUUCAAGGAGGUUACGUCAAGAUAACAUCAUCUAUAAUACAGGUCGUUUGACUUAAAAGACGCACGUUACUUACGAUCCUUCCACGAGCAACGAAAAGUUCCGCAAGAUGAGAUUUCUCAAUUGACCUCGCUCGGUACGAAGGAAGAUAGAUACGCAUGAAAAAGGGCAUCAGUGUAAAAGACCCAUUGUACACUGCCUCACGUAAAGGCAUUCUCCUCAAUACAUCCGGCAAUGCUCUUGGCGCAAGACGAAACGCAAGUCAUCAUCACGAACCUGCAGACCUGCAUAUAUACUUCCGACGACCACACUAUAGCACACUUGCUUGUCUGUAUUUCUUACGAGCUCGCUGUUACCCAUGGUUAUGACCUAGGCGGUGCCUACCGCUGGCCUCGGCCUAGAUAGAUAAGCACCAAAAUACCUCUAGUACGUUAACUGGAUCCAAUAGCAGGCAUACAUCUUAUACUCUGCCACUCUGCUGCCCGCUCCUAGUUCCUUUCUUUUUCACGCUGCCUGACGUCUUGUUGUAGAACCACUCCUUUCACGCCGACAUCGAUCAGAUCUAAUCGGAUCGGAUCGAGCCCGCCGUAGCGCGAGAGGCAGAUGCUUACGGUAAGAAUCUAGGCUAAAACAGGUCCAGCAAACACCGCUCGCCGUCUCGCCUAGAUUCUCCAAUGACGAACAACGAACCAAAGUCAACGGAGCCAAGCAACGUUUGUGGCCGUCAGCGACAGCUGUGCCUACACGCAUCUAGCUAGCUACUAUACAUUGCAUGAAUGAGGUAAUUAAUAAAGAGAAAUUAAAUUUGCUUGCAAAUUGACACGUCUAGCUUGAGAGAUAGGUCGCUGUACACGAAUUUCUAGGGUAGUCCUUUUCGGUACAAGAAUAUUACAAAGAUAACAUAACUGGAAGCGUCUGCUGGUCGUU